rnacentral:tRNA from 1 species
CGGGACGUGGCGCAGUCUGGAAGCGCACCUGAAUGGGGUUCAGGGGGUCGGAGGUUCAAAUCCUCUCGUCCCGA